GAUGUAUUGGCUAUCAGAUCAGAGUAUGGGGCUUCUGUGAUUCAGAGAAUGCUGCUUGGAUUUCACAACCCAGCCAGAGAGCUUGGUCUAUGAUGUCAUUUUAAAAGUCGAUGAUGACAUCCAACUUUCUGUUACUCAGUACAGAAACAAACUCUAUUAGAGAUGAUCUUGGAAAAAAAGGCCUGUCUGUAAAUACAAAAACAACCUCAUUUUAGACCGAUAUCAGAGGAGAAGACCACAGAAGGGAAUGGGAACAGUGAAAUGGACAAAAGCAAUUAAACAGGUGCUGGCUUUCAAGGAGAAGGAAAACAUGGUAUAGAUUGAGAUCGUGAUAGGAAAUCUCCUAAUUACAAGAAGAGCUUUAAUGGAACUGUAACAGUUCCAGCAAAACCUCUCAGUAUGGCUGAGCAAACACACUUAACUCCUGAAAGCACAAGCCCAGCUGUGAGCCCCAUAGGAGUCAUAACCUCUUAUAACCCCAUCACACACAUGCCUAAUGGUUUAGUCAAACCGCUCCACUACCCAUCUCAUCCUCAGUGGUUUGGGAGGAGGAAUCAAGAUACUAGAGGUGUGCUGCCAAGUGCCAACAGACCGUGCUAAUUGGUCUGUGGUACGUCCUACUGUCCUGUAUAAGAGCUGUUGUCUGUUUAAGAUUUGUCUGUUUAAGAUUUUAAAUGGUAAUUUGGUGCAAUUUUUGGUAACAUCAUAAAGUCCGCUUAAAAUGUUUCAUUUGUUCAUUCUUUCCAUCAGGGUGUAGACCAGUGAGGUCGUUCUGCCCCUGUGGCUCGCACAAACUCUUUCUCUGUCACACUAGCGCUGCCCCAAAAUAAUCCCCUGCUUCACAAGGAUGAUCCCAUUGUUUCCCUUGGGUUAUGUGUCACCUCUGCUCGCUCGGUGAGUGGCCUUUUGUUUUUAAGGGGGGCAAAAAUAUUUCAGAAAAUUACAGCUACCAACUAUUUAACUAUUAAUGUUUCCCAUUUAAAUAAUACCCAUGUGACCCAUGUGACUCUUGUGUACUCUGGCCUGAGAACAUUCAAUCUGCCAACACAAUCUAUUGGUGGAUGUUGUUUAUGUCACAAGAUAGAAAUCAAUACCAUGAGAAAGCCAUCAGUUUUAAUGUGUGCAUUAUUCCUUUUUUAUGCUAAAGUCUUCUGUUACCUUAGACCAUCUUCAAUUCCUUUUCAAAUUAAUGAUAUGUCUGAUAUGUUUUUUCUCCUAAUGAUAUCUUAAUAUCCCACU